AACGCUGGCGGCGUGCUUAACACAUGCAAGUCGAACGCGAAAGGGACUUCGGUCCUGAGUAAAGUGGCGCACGGGUGAGUAACGCGUAGAUAACCUGUCUUCAUGUCUGGAAUAAUACGCCGAAAGGGGUACUAAUACCGGAUAUUCUUGCUUUUCAUAAGUUAUGCAAGCAAAGGUGGCCUCUGCAUAUGCUACUGCAUGAAGAGGGGUCUGCGUACCAUUAGCUAGUAGGUGGGGUAAUGGCCUACCUAGGCGACGAUGGUUAGCGGGUCUGAGAGGAUGAUCCGCCACACUGGCACUGGAACACGGGCCAGACUCCUACGGGAGGCAGCAGUGAGGAAUAUUGCGCAAUGGGGGAAACCCUGACGCAGCGACGCCGCGUGAGUGAAGGAAGGCCUUCGGGUCGUAAAGCUCUGUCAAGAGGAAAGAAGUGUACAAUGGCUAAUACCUGUUGUAUUUGACGGUACCUCCAAAGGAAGCACCGGCUAACUCCGUGCCAGCCGCAGC
rnacentral:rRNA from 1 species